CCUACGGGUGGCAGCAGUGAGGAAUAUUGGUCAAUGGCCGCAGGGCUGAACCAGCCAAGUCGCGUGAGGGAUGACGGUCCUACGGAUUGUAAACCUCUUUUGUCAGGGAGCAAAGGGCGCCACGUGUGGCGUUUUGCGAGUACCUGAAGAAAAAGCAUCGGCUAACUCCGUGCAAGCAGCCGCGGUAAUACGGAGGAUGCGAGCGUUCUCCGAAUUUGUUGGGUUUCAAGGGUGCGCAGGCGGCCUGUUAAGUCGGCGGUAAAAGCGCGGGGCGCAACCCCGGCGAGCCGUUGAGACUGGCGGGCUGGAGUUGGAGAGAAGUACGCGGAAUGCGCGGUGUAGCGGUGAAAUGCGUAGAUAUCGCGCAGAACCCGGGUUGCGAAGGCAGCGUACCGGCUCCACACUGACGCUGAGGCACGAAGGCGUGGGGAUCGAACAGGAUUAGAUACCCGAGUAGUC
rnacentral:rRNA from 1 species